AUUUUGACGGACUCCGAAAGCUCAUCUUCAUCAAGAAGAAGCGGGACAGCCCCGACAGUGAGAAGUCCUCCCGGGCAGCAUCCAGCCUCCUGGCCAACCUGUGGCAGUACAACAAGCUCCACCGUGACUUCCGGGCGGUACGUUUCCCGAGCCCAGGGCAAGCAGGGACCCGGGUGCAGGGCAUGGGACGCCGGGGGAGGGUCAGUGAAGAGGCCCAUGGGAGGAUGGAGACCAGGGACCCAGAGAGGAAGGGUCCGGGCCACACCCAGCACACUGCAGGAGGGACAGCGGGCAGAGGGCCACAUGGGCAGACAUGCACCCUGACCUUGGGCCUCUCUCCACUGUAGAAGGGCUAUCGGAAGGAGGACUUCCUGGGCCCAUAGGUGAAGCCUUCUGGAGGAGAAGGUGACGUGGCCCAGCGUCCAAGGGACAGACUCAGCUCCAGGCUGCUUGGCAGCCCAGCCUGGAGGAGAAGGCUAAUGACGGAGGGGCCCC
rnacentral:lncRNA from 1 species